AACGCACCUUGCGCCCUUUGGCUAUUCCGAAGGGCAUGCCUGUUUGAGUAUCAUGAACACCUCAACUCUCAUGGCUUGCCAUGAUGAGCUUGGACUUUGGGGGUCUUGCUGGCCUACGGUCGGCUCCUCUCAAACGAAUCAGCUUGCCAGUGUUUGGUGGCGUCACAGGUGUGAUAACUAUCUACGCUUGUGGUUCUCCACCAGGUAACCUUCAGUGAUGGAGGUUCGCUGGAGCUCAUAAACGUCUCUCCUCUGCGAGGACAACUUCUUGAACGUUUGAUCUCAAAUCAGGUAGGACUACCCGCUGAACUUAA
rnacentral:misc_RNA from 1 species